GCAAAUGUGCGGACACACCCUUAUAAAAUUGUUUCCCACCUGAAAAAGCUUCUACUGAUUUUCCAAGACUGAAUUCAAGGAAAGAAUACCCUGAGAUAUCUGGAUUUUCCAAAGUGGAAGCUGAUAAGGUGUGCACAGCUGGGGGAGUCUCAGAUGGCUGGAGAGACAAAAGUCAGAGCUCAGGAAUCACCAAAAAGGAAGGCCAGCUGCUGAAAGCCGCAUUUUAAACCUGAGAGCCUGUCAGGACACACAGAGGCAUCCAUGGAAAGCCUGUUUUGCGUGUGAACAGCUGGGAGCUGGCCCAUGCUUCUUCAGUUCUGUGCUUUUUGGUCUACAGACUGAUUUCUGUCAUACUGAAGCAAUCCUCACAAUGUUCACAAGAAUUCUGGACAGAAAUACAAUUAUAAUUGAGCAUGAAUCAGGCUGCUCUUUGACCCACUUCCUUGUAACUAAAAGUCAUGUAGCACUAGAUACUGACCAUUCGCUAGAUAUCAACCACUCGCUAGAUACCGACCACUCGCUAGAUACUGACCAUUCGCAUCCCCACUGUUCCCAUAGAUAGCAUCUCUGAUGUUAGAAUCAGAAGGCUUUUGUUUAAGAAUUGCUUAGGCAGAUCCUGAAUUCUGGUGGAACAGCUGAUGCCAACCAGUUUGAAGAGCCCCACAGAGGAACUGAACUGGCAUGAGAAUACAAUGGCUUCCUCUCCCCAUCCCAUGACUUCACCUUGUACUCUUGACCAAUCAACAAUCUCCACACUUCAUGCUACUCCAACCCUUUAAAACCCUCCUAGGGGAGAUGGAUUUGAAGUCUCCCCGUCUCCUCGUUCAACGGUGCUACAAUUAAACCUUUCUCUCUGCUGCAA